CGGCGCUUGGCCCUACGGGGGCAGCAAGAGGAUAACAAGCUGCCAGGCCCCACUGGCUGGGAGGACACAGAGGUGCUGCGGCUGGUGCGGCCACCCAGCGAGACCGCACCCAGGGCCUCGUUGAAGACAGUGCAGCAAGUGGUGAUGUUGUUUCUCAAAAGCAGAACGGUUCCUGACACACAGGGCCUGUUCCUCCCCACUGCCGCUGUCCUGGAGUGGAUGGAGCAGACAAAUGAGGAAGGCGUUGGUGGUGCCACUCUUUGCCAACCGGAUCCUUGCUAAGCGCACCUUCUACAGAGAGGAGAGAAAGAGUCAGAUGCGGCUGAAGUUAGAAACAAUGACUGGCACAGGCAGAGCGAUGACCAGGACACCACUGAGUGAGCAGAUGGAUCCGAAAAUCUUGCCAGCAAUGGUACUGGGCACCAUGUCUCCAUAUCUGGGGCCAGAGGAGAGGGGAAACAGGCCCAGAGAACACAAGGUCAACAGAAAGAAUACAGCUAAGACAAUCCUUGAACCCAAGUCAUUGUCAAAGCUGGGUGGGAUUUGAAGAUGAGUCCAACUCCCUCAGUUUCUACAGACGAGCAAACUGAAGCUCAAACAGAUCAUUUACCUAACCUUCUUUUACAGAAAAGCAUAAAACAUGACAGUGGCGAAGAUGAUGAUGGCCAUGGUGAGGGAAAAGAGGAGGAAGCCCAGCUCAGAAGCACAGCUCUUGAGUGUGUAGCCCAAAAUUCGC